AAUACCAAUUUUAUACAAACUCAUCUAGAGAAAGAAUAAACUCAUUUCCUUAUCCCCUACUUGUAUCCUUUAUAGUAAAAUUGAAAAAGCAUAUUAAAAUAAAGAAAAAUUAUGGACUUCAUGAGAGAUUUAUGAACAAUCUCAACAAAAUAUUAGCAAUUUGAAUCCCUACUAUAGAUAGAUAAUAUUUCAAAACUAAGUUUGAUUUAUUCUAGGAAUACCAAUUUGUAUUAAUAUUUAAGAAAACAAUCUUUGAAAAAAAUAACCAACCUUUGUAAUUCACCAUUUUAACAAAAUAAAAAGGAAAAAUUAUAAUUUCAACAGAUGGAGCGAAAGCAUUUGAUAAAACCCAACCAUUUAUGCUCAAAAGGCAAAACAACAUAAACCAAAAUGCAAAAAUGUACCACACUAAGAAUGGUAGAGAACCUUUUUAAUUUGAUAAAAGAUUAUCUGCAAUAAUCUAUAGCAAACAAGAUAUAUAAUGCUGAAAUAUUGAAAAUUUUCCUCUGGAGAUGGGGAGCAAAAGAUAUCUGCAAUCACUACUUUAACAUUGAACUAGAGGUCCUUAGCAGUGCAAUGGAACAAGAAAAAAAAACAACUAAAGGUAUAAAGAUAAGAAAGGAAGAAAUGAAUUAUUAUUUGCAGAUAGCAUGUGCGUCUAUGGAGAAAGUUCAAAAUUAUCUACAAUUAAAUAGACAAACCUGGUAAAUGAAUUUAGAAAGGUGGCUGCAUUUAAGCUUAUACCAAAAUCAACUGUAUUCCUAAAUAUCAGCCAUGAAUAAUUAGAAUAUAAAAUUAGCAUAAAAGAGCUAAAAUAAGUCAGCGACGGAUUUCAGUGUCCUAUACUAUAAAUAAAGUGUGCCUUGCCACAUGUUCACUCAGCUCCUCAGCUGUCAUAUUCCAAUAUCCCUACACAUCCUCCCAGAGACAUUCUCAGACCUAUGGUGGCUGAGGCUUUGAGCUUCUUUCAUUUAUUCCAUCCGACAAUCACUGUCAAAACACAUCUGCCCAUUCUAUUAGUCCUAUCCAUAAUCUCUAUCUUAUUUCCAAGUCAGUACCAUUUUUUUCUUCAUGGAACGUAUUAAUACUUUCAUUUUUUGGUUUUUCUUGCAUCACUGCUACAAUGUAUUUUCAGUUGAAAGUAUGAACAUAGUGAGACAUUGAUCACUAAGGCUUCAUGAAGUUCAACUGGCUUGUCAGGAAUGUGGAUUAGAGCUGGGUCCUAUUUCAAGAUCUCCAUACCAUUAAAAAUAAGGAAAGAAAACUUCCGGGUAAAAAUGGCAAGUAGAACUCAUACACUACCUUCUUGAUCUUGAGAAAAAAAUGGACUGGAUUUUGGCAAAAGGAAUAUUUUAAAACUGUAUAAACCAUGAAGCCUAAGAUAAUGGAGGAGGUGAAACAAUAAAUAUUAGAAAAUAGAAAGCAGAUGGAAGACUUAGCCGAAUCUUGAGAGAGCCACAGCAUAAACCAGCAGUAGGAGAAGAGGCCGGUCAGCCUGAAGUACACCACACACUCCUCUCAGAGGCUCAGCAUGAGAGGUUUCUCUGCUGCUCAUAUCUGAAGAACCAAGACUCCAUGCUGCUGUGCAAAUAGCCUGGCAGGAGAGAUCUGGUGUGUGAGGGUCUAAAUCUUCCAGCUGGAGAAUAAGGAGUUGUCCAGCUUCUUUUGGGCCUGCAGAGUGGACUUCUGGGACCAGAUUGAUUUGAUGCUGCAGCUCUGUGAAACUCUCAGAGGUGAUAACCCUAAACACCUAUUUAACAACCAAGAUGUCACGAAGAUAAUACAAAUCAAGGGGAAAAAAGGGAGCACAGUUUCAGAGGGAAUAAUGGGUGCAAUUAAAGUUAUUGCUUUGCAGGUAAAUGUGGCCAAGUGACUAGUUUCAUCCAAUGGAAUGUAAGCGAAUGUGAAAUGUGAGACUUCUGGGAAAUUUAGGAACCGUUGUGUCCUGCUACAUCCUAUCCUGUCUUCUAUUGCCAGAGAAAACGGAGGUCCAGGUCCCUAGAUAAUGUUAUGGGCAGUCUAUCGGGCCUGUGCAUGAACACACAUUUCAAGGGAUAAUGUAUGCUCCUCAUGCCUCAUCACUGCAGCGUUAGAGGCUCUGGACCACUUUAUCACUCUGAGCAUCUUCCUUUUGGAUGAAUUUAAUUGGCGAGGUUCUACUAUACUGGAUAAUAGUCGAAGAGUUGAUUUUAUUUUUAAAAUCUGACCAUGAUUGAGCAUCUCAAAGAUAGAAAAUGUUAUUAGCUCUGGAAGUGGUUAAUGUGAUGAAAAAACAUAUGAUAUUGAAAAAAAAAUCCACCUCAAUCCAAAGUGAUGGCAGUAAGUGGAAUCCAGUGUAUCAUGGAACACCUAAUGCACACAAGAUGUGGAGCGUGUCCCUUGGUCAGAACUUUUAAAUACUAAGUAGCAGUGAAUGGGAGAAAUAAAUCAACUGGGAGGAUGGCUAGAAUAAUAAACAGGGAAGAUGCUUUAUACUCACAUCCCAGCAAAGCAAUAUGAAAAAGUGAUCCUGGCUGUCAUGAGCUAUUACUGAGUGAAAAACUUCUUUGUAGCCCUUCUAACUUUAAAAAAAAAAAAAAAAA